UCGAUAUGAGCCGGUUUUCCACCGGAGAUCGCUCUCCGGGGCCGCGAUAUCGUUCACGGCACGAGCUGACGACAGCCAUGCACCACCUGUCAGGGGCCCUUACGGACACCGUAUCUCUACGGCUUUUCCCCUGAUGUCAAGCCCAGGUAAGGUUCUUCGCGUUGCCUCGAAUUAAGCCACAUGCUCCGCCGCUUGUGCGGGCCCCCGUCAAUUCCUUUGAGUUUUAGCCUUGCGGCCGUACUCCCCAGGCGGGGUGCUUAAUGCGUUAGCUGCGGCACGGAAGGCGUCGAUAGCCUCCCACACCUAGCACCCAUCGUUUACGGCUGGGACUAC
rnacentral:misc_RNA from 1 species